AUCCUGGCUCAGGACGAACGCUGGCGGCGUGCCUAAUACAUGCAAGUCGAGCGAACAGAAGGGAGCUUGCUCCCGGAUGUUAGCGGCGGACGGGUGAGUAACACGUGGGUAACCUGCCUGUAAGACUGGGAUAACUCCGGGAAACCGGAGCUAAUACCGGAUAGUUCCUUGAACCGCAUGGUUCAAGGAUGAAAGACGGUUUCGGCUGUCACUUACAGAUGGACCCGCGGCGCAUUAGCUAGUUGGUGGGGUAAUGGCUCACCAAGGCGACGAUGCGUAGCCGACCUGAGAGGGUGAUCGGCCACACUGGGACUGAGACACGGCCCAGACUCCUACGGGAGGCAGCAGUAGGGAAUCUUCCGCAAUGGACGAAAGUCUGACGGAGCAACGCCGCGUGAGUGAUGAAGGUUUUCGGAUCGUAAAGCUCUGUUGUUAGGGAAGAACAAGUGCGAGAGUAACUGCUCGCACCUUGACGGUACCUAACCAGAAAGCCACGGCUAACUACGUGCCAGCAGCCGCGGUAAUACGUAGGUGGCAAGCGUUGUCCGGAAUUAUUGGGCGUAAAGGGCUCGCAGGCGGUUUCUUAAGUCUGAUGUGAAAGCCCCCGGCUCAACCGGGGAGGGUCAUUGGAAACUGGGAAACUUGAGUGCAGAAGAGGAGAGUGGAAUUCCACGUGUAGCGGUGAAAUGCGUAGAGAUGUGGAGGAACACCAGUGGCGAAGGCGACUCUCUGGUCUGUAACUGACGCUGAGGAGCGAAAGCGUGGGGAGCGAACAGGAUUAGAUACCCUGGUAGUCCACGCCGUAAACGAUGAGUGCUAAGUGUUAGGGGGUUUCCGCCCCUUAGUGCUGCAGCUAAC
rnacentral:rRNA from 1 species